AUUGUUAUACUGAUAUUUCACACUCUUCUCCUGAUUUCAUCUUCACAGUUUGAAAAGUGACGAGUUAUCAUCAAGCUAGACAAAGAGGAAAUGAAAUGCUGCGGUGCCCUUGAUCCAGGGAAAGAGGGACAGAGUCAUUACCAUUGAGGUUCCAGAUCAUACUUCCAAUCUUCCUCCAGGCUAGACCUUGAAUUUUGUGUCAAGAAGUCUGGAGAAUAGACUUGGCUCUCUGCUGAUUGGCUCUGUGACUUUGGGCAAGUUCCCUGGCCUCUCUGAGCCUCAGUUUUUUCACCAAUAAUAGAAGAGGUCUGGGAGGAUCACGGCAGAUGGGAAGCAGGACUAGACUGCAGCUCCCACUUGGACAGACAGAGCAGUGUAUGGAGGUUCGCAUCAUGAACUUUUGCUCCAGAACGAUUGCAGGAAUAAAUC
rnacentral:lncRNA from 1 species